rnacentral:lncRNA from 10 species
GCCUCACCUCGCCUUCCUCAAACCUCAACUGCCCCUCAUGGGAUUUCUGCUCGCUUGUCUUCCGAGGCUGCGGUGUGGAUCUCGCACUGCGGCCGCCUCGCCUUGGCUGGGGAGAACCUCGAGUCUAGCUUUGUACCAGGCUGCAGUGCAGUAGUGCCAUCUCAGCUCACUGCAACCUCUGCCUCCCGGGUUCAAGAGAUUGUCCUGCCUCAGCCUCCCGAGUAGCUGGGAUUACAGGCACAUGCCACCACACCCAGCUAAUGUUUGUAUUUUUAGUAGACACGGGGUUUCAUCAUGUUGCCCAGGAUGGUCUCAAUUUCCUGACCUCGUGAUCCGCACAUCUCGGCCUCCCAAAAUGCUGGGAUUACAGGCAUGAGCCACCAGAACCGGACAUGCUUUCCUUAAAAGCUAAAUAUUUUAGGCUUGUGUGCCAUUAGGCUCUGUUACAACUACUUAAUUCUGCUUUUGUAAUUCUAUAGCACCCAUUGAUAAUACAUAAACAAAUGAGCAUGAAUGUAUCUCAGUAAAAAUUUGUUCACAUAAACAGGCAGUCCACCCAUGAAGCUAUAGCUUGCUGACCCCUUGUUUAAACAAUCAAUUGAAUUCAAACAGAAAUAAAAGGAUCUUAUAUAUUUAACCAUGUUGAUACCAUUUCCAGUGCUUUUCAUUCUUCUAUGUAGAUCCAAAUUUCCUUUUGAUAUUAUUUUACGUCUGCCUGAAACAUUUUCUUUAACAUUUUUUAUAGUGCUGUUUUACUGGUGAUGAUUUAUUUCAGGUUCUAAGUGCCAGAACAAAAUCUUUAUUUCACCUACAUCUUGAAAGAUAGUUUCUCUGAGUCUACAAUUUCCAGCUGACAAUGUUUAUCUUCCAGUACUUUAAAGAUGUUGCUUCAUUAUCUUCUAAUUUUCUUUGUUUCCAAUAAAAUGUUUGCUGGCAUUUUUUGUUCCUCUGUGCAAACCGUGUUUUUGUCAUUGGCUGCUUUGAGAAUUUUUCUUUAUCACUAGUUUUAAGCAAUUUUAUUUUAGUGUAUUUUGUGCACAAGACAAGGAUGCCCUCUCUCACCACUCCUGUUCAACAUAGUAUUGGAAGUCCUUGCCAAAACAGUUAGGCAAGAGAAAGAAAUAAAGGUACCCAAAUAGGAAGAAAGGACGUCAAACUAUCCCUGUCUGUAGAUUACAUGAUCCUAUAUGUAGAAAACUUUAUAGGCCCAAAAGCUUAAGGCCCGAAAGCUCCUUAAGAUGAAAAACACCUUUGGCAGAGUCUCAGGAUACAAAAAGAACAUACAAAAAUUACUCGCAUUCCCAUACACCAACAAGAGUCAAGCGGAGAGCCAAAUCAGGAAUGCAAUCUGAUUCACAAUUGCUGCAAAAAGAAUCAAAUACCUAGGAAUACAGCUAACUAGUGAGGUGAAAGAUCUCUGUAAGAACUAAAAACACCAAAGAUAUCAGAGAGGAUGAAACAAAUGAAAAAACAUUCUAUGCUCAUG